UAAGAGACGGCUGUGGAGGUGUGUAGUUGUAACCUAUAUUACGGGAGUAUUCUCUCUCUUAA
rnacentral:tRNA from 1 species